rnacentral:rRNA from 1 species
UACGUAGGGUGCAAGCGUUGUCCGGAAUUAUUGGGCGUAAAGAGCUCGUAGGCGGUCAGUCGCGUCUGCUGUGAAAACUCGGGGCUUAACUCCGGGCCUGCAGUGGGUACGGGCUGACUAGAGUGCGGUAGGGGAGACUGGAAUUCCUGGUGUAGCGGUGAAAUGCGCAGAUAUCAGGAGGAACACCGGUGGCGAAGGCGGCCUUCUGGACAGUGACUGACGCUGAGACGCGAAAGCGUGGGGAGCAAACAGG